rnacentral:rRNA from 1 species
CCCAGCAGUUCUCGCCUGGUGUCCCACUGACGCUAAGCAGGGUUGAGUCUGGUCAGUACCUGGAUGCGAGACCUCCUCGGGAAAGUAAGGUCGCUGCUGGAA